CAGUCGCCGCGGGAAUACGAAGGGUGCAAGCGUUACUCGGAAUUACUGGGCGUAAAGCGUGUGUAGGUGGUUGUUUAAGUCUGUCGUGAAAGCCCUGGGCUCAACCUGGGAAUUGCGAUGGAUACUGGGCGACUAGAGUGCGGUAGAGGAUAGUGGAAUUUCCGGUGUAGCAGUGAAAUGCGUAGGGAUCGGGAGGAACAUCAGUGGCGAAGGCGGCCAUCUGGGACAACACUGACGCUGAGGCACGAAAGCGUGGGGAGCAAACAGGAUUAGAUACCCCCGUAGUCCCUGUCUCUUAUAC
rnacentral:rRNA from 1 species